UCGUCCCCUGCAACGGCCGCUAGGGUUCUGUCCCGCUUGCUAUAAAGCCGGCGACGACCUCUAUCCGACGGCGGAUUACCGCGCCUAUCGCUGCCGGACCCAUCCUCGAAGUGGUGGUGUGUUGGAUCCCUGGAGGAACACUGGAUGAACAAUUUCAGGUUGCAUCGUGAAAAAGAACAUUUUCUGUCUCCAUCAUCUGAUUAGGUUAAGCUUAGCUUCGAUAGCUCCUACAUCAAUAAGGAUGAUUGUGUGGUGUGGAUCACCACAUAUUCAGACACCGAAUAUGUUCAAUAUGACCGGUCUUUGAGGCCGAAAAUAACUCUCGAUGAGUUUACAAGGCACGCAAAUGCAACAGCAAGAAGCUCAUUUUGGAAUCCGAAUUCGAAGCUCUUUUUGUGUUUUGAAGAUGAAACAAAUUCUGGUGGAGGAUUGCUGAUUUUCUGACUGAUAUGUAAUUUAUAUUUUGAACUUGUUGACGGUAGAUUGUUGUCGUGUCAAAACAUGAAUUGAACAAAAUUUCCUGGUUUGUCAUUUGUCACCUAUGUUUUCUUACUGAACUUUUUUGACAGAUAUCAAUAUGGUUAUUGA